rnacentral:rRNA from 1 species
GACGAACGCUGGCGGCGUGCUUAACACAUGCAAGUCGAACGGAAAGGCCCUGCUUUUGUGGGGUGCUCGAGUGGCGAACGGGUGAGUAACACGUGAGUAACCUGACCUUGACUUUGGGAUAACUUCAGGAAACUGGGGCUAAUACCGGAUAGGAGCUCCUGCUGCAUGGUGGGGGUUGGAAAGUUUCGGCGGUUGGGGAUGGACUCGCGGCUUAUCAGCUUGUUGGUGGGGUAGUGGCUUACCAAGGCUUUGACGGGUAGCCGGCCUGAGAGGGUGACCGGCCACAUUGGGACUGCGAUACGGCCCAGACUCCUACGGGCGGCAGCAGUGGGGAAUAUUGCACAAUGGGCGGAAGCCUGAUGCAGCAACGCCGCGUGCGGGAUGACGGCCUUCGGGUUGUAAACCGCUUUCGCCUGUGACGAAGCGUGAGUGACGGUAAUGGGUAAAGAAGCACCGGCUAACUACGUG